UAGGGAAUCUUCCGCAAUGGACGAAAGUCUGACGGAGCGACGCCGCGUGAGCGAAGAAGGUCUUCGGAUCGUAAAGCUCUGUUGUUAGGGAAGAAGAAGUGCCGUUCGAACAGGGCGGCGCGGUGACGGUACCAUAGGAGGAAGCCCCGGCUAACUACGUGCCAGCAGCCGCGGUAAUACGUAGGGGGCGAGCGUUGUCCGGAAUUAUUGGGCGUAAAGCGCGCGCAGGCGGUUCCUUAAGUCUGAUGUGAAAUCUCGCGGCUCAACCGCGAGCGGCCAUUGGAAACUGGGGAACUUGAGUGCAGGAGAGGGGAGCGGAAUUCCACGUGUAGCGGUGAAAUGCGUAGAGAUGUGGAGGAACACCAGUGGCGAAGGCGGCUCUCUGGCCUGUAACUGACGCUGAGGCGCGAAAGCGUGGGGAGCGAACAGG
rnacentral:rRNA from 1 species